UGGAGGAAAGCAGGGGAUCGUAAGACCUUGCGCUUUUGGAGCGGCCGAUGUCUGAUUAGCUAGUUGGUGGGGUAAUGGCCUACCAAAGCUUCGAUCAGUAGCUGGUCUGAGAGGACGGCCAGCCACACUGGGACUGAGACACGGCCCAGACUCCUACGGGAGGCAGCAGUGGGGAAUUUUGGACAAUGGGCGCAAGCCUGAUCCAGCCAUGCCGCGUGAGUGAAGAAGGCCUUCGGGUUGUAAAGCUCUUUCAGCCGGGAAGAAAAGGCUGCGACUAAUAAUCGCAGUUCAUGACGGUACCGGAAGAAGAAGCACCGGCUAACUACAUGCCAGCAGCCGCGGUAAUACGUAGGGUGCGAGCGUUAAUCGGAAUUACCGGGCGUAAAGGGUGCGCAGGCGGUUUUGUAAGUCAGAUGUGA
rnacentral:rRNA from 1 species